rnacentral:tRNA from 6 species
GGAGGGAUGGCCGAGCGGUUUAAGGCACCGGUCUUGAAAACCGGCGUGGGUGCAAGCUCACCGUGGGUUCGAAUCCCACUCCCUCCGCCA